ACUAAAUCAUCAUUUAUCUCAUGAGAAUAACAUUUUAUAGGUACCCCUCCUGUGAACAUUGGUCUUCCAAUUAGAAUUUCAUGAGGGGAUAACCCUGCUUUCAAACUAGAGAGAAUCUCAUAGACAUUAAGGCAAGAGGAAGUGCAUUAAGCCACUUUAACUUUCUCUGCUGCAAUUUUUGCAAUUUUGUUUUUCAAUGUUCCAUUGGCCCUUUCUACUGCUCCUUCUGACUGAGGAUGAUGAGAGCAAUGUAAAUGAUAAGGGAUUUGCUAAAUUUUUGCUAUCUGUUGCACUAUUUUUCCUGUGAAAUGUGUUCCCUGAUCUGAGUAAAUGUGCCGAGGCAAUCCAUAGCUGGGUAUAAAUUCUUGUAACAAUUUCUUAAACAUUGUAGACAUAUCGGCAUGGCAACAAGGAUAAGCCUCGAUCCAACCUGAGAAUGUAUCUAAUAUUACUAGCACAUACCGAUACUGCAUUACCUUUAGUAAUUCAAUGAAAUCCAUUUGUAAAUUUACAAAUGGACCUCAUGAACAGGGAGGAUGAUUUAGGUCUCUGACCUGCAUUGUAUUGUAAACAAAUAACACAUGAAGAACACACCAGUGCCAAUACAGAUUCUAGGCCCAGCCUUGACCAUUCAGAAUUAAACAAUGAUGGCAAUGCUGGUCUUCCACUAAAUAUACACUCUCCCCACCAAAAUCACUUACUUCUUCUUCCCUCAGUAUCACAUACAAUCCCUUUACUUUCAAAUGUACCAUAGGUUCUGGACCUUGGGUCACAGGUACACUAACAAUACAUAUUCAGACCCCAAUCUUCCUCUACAUCUAGUCUGUCUUUUUCUUCUAAUUGCUUUCUUGCCCCCUUUACCUCCUUGCAAUCUGUUGCUAUAUGACCAUAUCCAUCACAAUUGAAACAUUUGAUAAAUGUUCUUACAUUAUUCUGUGGGGGUCUUCUGGCUAUGUUUUGUCUUGGCUGAUGUGCAUAAUAUAUAACAGGAAUUUGUUCAGCUUGUAGCAUUAUGUGCUCAGCUUUUGCAUUUUCCUUGAUUUGAAUAGCUUGUCAAAUUUCUGAUGCUGCACUUAAUACAAUAUUAAGUGAUUUAUCCCGUCAUCCCAGUAAGGAUAACAUCAAUUGUUUUUUUUUACUUUAGCAUCCAAACCAUUUACUAAGGUAUUCACUAUGAACGGCUUAAUUGAUUAAUUUGUGAUAUCUUCAAAACUUCCAAAAACCUUAAUUGCUUCCGCAUAUUCAUAGG